UUUUGAAUUCAUUAAUAGUGAUUGUCCUAUACCAAGUCAAAACAUGUCCUCUCCCGAUGGUAAGAGUGAAAUCGAAAACCCAAAUUACAAAUCAUGGUUAAAGUCUGACCGACUUCUUAAAGCUUGGAUCACAAGGACAUUAUCAGAAGAGUGUCUUAGCUUUGUUGUUGGCCUCAAGACUUCUGCAGAACUUUGGAAAUACCUGAAGAAUGCCUGUAUAGUUAAUUAUCAAGCGAUUGAGCUCCAACUUACCCAACAACUCCAACUCUAC
rnacentral:lncRNA from 1 species